UACGUAGGUGGCAAGCGUUGUCCGGAUUUACUGGGCGUAAAGAGCGCGCAGGCGGUCGUUCAAGUCGCGUGUGAAAGCCCCCGGCUCAACUGGGGAGGGUCACGCGAUACUGAUCGACUCGAAGGCAGGAGAGGGUAGUGGAAUUCCCGGUGCAGUGGUGAAAUGCGUAGAUAUCGGGAGGGACACCAGUGGCGAAGGCGACUACCUGGCCUGUUCUUGACGCUGAGGCGCGAAAGCUAGGGGAGCAAACGGG
rnacentral:rRNA from 1 species